GCGGAAGUAGUUCAGUGGUAGAAUACAACCUUGCCAAGGUUGGGGUCGCGGGUUCGAAUCCCGUCUUCCGCUC
rnacentral:tRNA from 1 species